rnacentral:rRNA from 1 species
AGUGAACGCUGGCGGUAGGCCUAACACAUGCAAGUCGAACGGCAGCACAGUAAGAGCUUGCUCUUACGGGUGGCGAGUGGCGGACGGGUGAGGAAUACAUCGGAAUCUACUUUUUCGUGGGGGAUAACGUAGGGAAACUUACGCUAAUACCGCAUACGACCUACGGGUGAAAGCAGGGGAUCUUCGGACCUUGCGCGAUUGAAUGAGCCGAUGUCGGAUUAGCUAGUUGGCGGGGUACAGGCCCACCAAGGCGAAGAUCCGUAGCUGGUCUGAGAGGAUGAUGAGCCCCUCUGGAACUGAGCCACGGUCCUGGCUCCUACGGGAGGCAGAAGUGGGGAAUAUUGGACAAUGGGCGCAAUCCUGAUCCAGCCAUACCGGGUGGGUGAAGAAGGCCUUCGGGUUGUAAAGCCCUUUUGUUGGGAAAGAAAAGCAGCAGGUUAAUACCCCGCUGUUCUGACGGUACCCAAAGAAUAAGCACCGGCUAACUUCGUG